AGUGAACGCUGGCGGUAGGCCUAACACAUGCAAGUCGAACGGCAGCACAGUAAGAGCUUGCUCUUACGGGUGGCGAGUGGCGGACGGGUGAGGAAUACAUCGGAAUCUACUUUUUCGUGGGGGAUAACGUAGGGAAACUUACGCUAAUACCGCAUACGACCUACGGGUGAAAGCAGGGGAUCUUCGGACCUUGCGCGAUUGAAUGAGCCGAUGUCGGAUUAGCUAGUUGGCGGGGUAAAGGCCCACCAAGGCGACGAUCCGUAGCUGGUCUGAGAGGAUGAUCAGCCACACUGGAACUGAGACACGGUCCAGACUCCUACGGGAGGCAGCAGUGGGGAAUAUUGGACAAUGGGCGCAAGCCUGAUCCAGCCAUACCGCGUGGGUGAAGAAGGCCUUCGGGUGGUAAAGCCCUUUUGUUGGGAAAGAAAAGCAGCAGGUUAAUACCCCGCUGUUCUGACGGUACCCAAAGAAGAAGCACCGGCUAACUUCGU
rnacentral:rRNA from 1 species